AAGCAACGCGAAGAACCUUACCAGGUCUUGACAUCCCUCUGAAGUAUUGCUUAGCAGCAUAUGUCCUUCGGGACAGGGGAGACAGGUGGUGCAUGGUUGUCGUCAGCUCGUGUCGUGAGAUGUUGGGUUAAGUCCCGCAACGAGCGCAACCCUUGCUAUUAGUUGCUAACAGGUAGAGCUGAGCACUCUAAUGGGACUGCCGGUGACAAGCCGGAGGAAGGUGGGGAUGACGUCAAAUCAUCAUGCCCUUUAUGACCUGGGCUACACACGUGCUACAAUGGAUGGUACAGAGAGCAGCGAGGCAGCGAUGUGGAGCGAAUCUCAAAAAGCCAUUCUCAGUUCGGAUUGGAGUCUGCAACUCGACUCCAUGAAGUCGGAAUCGCUAGUAAUCGCGAAUCAGCAUGUCGCGGUGAACUGCGUUCCCGGGCCUU
rnacentral:rRNA from 1 species